AAGGCACAGUACCACAGAUGCCAGAGUAAAUACAGACUGUGACAUUACACUAACUGGACAAGAACAUCUGCUCAAGCUUUUGAUUUGCAGGAUGAAGACUUUACAUGCAAUGCUGCUGAUGAUGUUUGUUGCAUCAGUCUUUUCAAAACCAUCUCGUCUGCACAGAAGGUCUGAUUCAUCAGACUCGGAGGGUUCGGAUGAAAAUGAUUCACGCGGAAGAUUGAACAUCGAGGAUUCACAGUCGGUCGAGAAUUCUGACGAGUCUAAUGAAUCUUCUGAGGAAGUUGUGCCAAGAACAAUCCCUCCAACUAGAACAAGAACAUGAAUCAUCACGACACGAGACAUCCCACAGUGUGUUACUAUGGAUCUGACAACUGAAAUAAUGGGCAAUAAAUAUAAUACCAAUAUAAUAUCUUGCAAUACUACUGCUUAAUCAUCUUUUCAUGCAAAAAAAAAAAAAAAAAAA